UGCUGUUGUACCUGUUGGGGCAGGACUUCUAGGCACCAAGGGACUCCUAGAAUAUCUUGGGAGGACAAGUGGUGAACAGGCUAAAGUCUCAUCUGAAUGGCUUGUGUUUUAUAAACUGAUGCUGGGUUAUAUGCUGUGGGCAUCUUUUGUUUUUGUUUUUGUUUUGUUUUUUUAAUACUGUAUUUUUAUAUGCUUUUUUGCAAAGUGGCAUUAACUGCUUUUGUAUAUGAAAAAAAAAACAAAAAACCUCCUGUUGCAAGAGUCUGGUUUAUUUUGAAAGGCAAGUUUACCUGAUAUUUUGUAUUUAGUUGUAAUUAUUAAUUGCUUGAUUUUAAACUGUUGCCGUCUGAGACAUCAUCUAAUAAAAGAUUUCUCAAAAAAAAAAAAA